rnacentral:rRNA from 1 species
CCUACGGGAGGCAGCAGUGGGGGAUAUUGCACAAUGGGGGAAACCCUGAUGCAGCGACGCCGCGUGUGGGAAGACGGUCCUAUGGAUUGUAAACCUCUUUAGUCGGGGAGCAAUGCCGGGCACGCGUGCCCGGAGGGAGAGUACCCGCAGACUAAGCCUCGGCUAACUCCGUGCCAGCAGCCGCGGUAAUACGGAGGAUGCGAGCGUUAUCCGGAUUUAUUGGGUUUAAAGGGUGCGUAGGCGGAUCGUUAAGUCAGUGGUCAAAUUGAGGGGCUCAACCCCUUCCCGCCAUUGAAACUGGCGCUCUUGAGUGGAAGAGAAGUAGGCGGAAUGCGUGGUGUAGCGGUGAAAUGCAUAGAUAUCACGCAGAACCCCGAUGGCGAAGGCAGCAUGCCGGCUUCCGACUGACGCUGAAGCACGAAAGCGUGGGGAUCAAACAGGAUUAGAUACCCCUGUAGUC